GUAGGUGAACCUGCGGAAGGAUCAUUACCGAGUUAGGGUCUCUCAGGCCCGACCUCCAACCCUUUGUUCAAUCUACCAUGUUGCUUUGGCGGGCCCGCCCUUCUGGGGCCGCCGGGGGUUUUACGACCCCUGGUCAGCGCCUGCCAGUGGCCUACUUAAAUUCUGUUUUUAAUUAUGACGUCUGAAGAUAAAUAAAAAUCGUUAAAAACUUUCAACAACGGAUCUCUUGGUUCUGGCAUCGAUGAAGAAC
rnacentral:misc_RNA from 1 species